CCAGACAGCCAGCUAUGAAACCUGGAAAGAUCACUCUCUCUCUUCCUCCUCAAAGACCCUCACUCCAGAGGAGUCCUGCCCUAUACCUGAGAGGAAGAAACACAAAUGGAGAAGCCAAGAAGAAUCAGAGCAGCCCCUGGAGGAAGAGCAACUCUCAACACCCCUUGCUUUGGUGUCUCGUUUCUCUGAGAUCAGUGAACAUUCUGCGUUGGUUGCCCUGUUCAGUUUUGAAGGGAGUACCAAUUUUCACUUUUAAAAACAACCUUAUAGAAGAAGCAGAAUUGAGAAGAAAUUAAUUAAAAAAUACCUUAUGGAAGCAGCAAAAUCAUUGCUGUGGUUAAUCUUAUUGCAGGAAAAGAAUCUCAAGAUAAAACUGAUACUGUAAGUUACUGAUGUUUUGUCCAGAAUGUUCUAUUUUGGCUGAAGGAAAAUCUAGUUGUCUUUCCUGGUUCUUCGAUAAAUUGCUGUUUUAUGUAUGUGGGUGGCAGAAAAAAAAAGAAACAGCAUUACAUUCUGCAAGCAAUGUUAUGCACUUUAAAAUUUUACCUUGGUGUAUCAUUGCAUCUUUUGGGCCUCCAAGUGCGAGAGACGCUGAUCUCCUUAAUCAAUCUGAGCACACGUCUACUUCACUGGAAAAGCAGCUCUGAGGCCAUCCCCUCUAAAUGGCAAUUGUCCUGGGGGUCCCUGAUCAGCAGGCAUGCACCACUGUGGCCAUCCUCAUGCAGGAGACGCUGAAUUUCUGCCAGAACCAGGCCCAGGAAGAAUUCUCGCAACUUCUGUGGAUGUAGCUGCAAUCUUUCCGUCUUUGAUUUGAACAGUUUGGGGUCAAAAUACUCAUUCACCGUGUAUUGCAUCCAAAUCAGGAGAAAGAUGUAGAGUGUUAAUUGUUGCUAGAGCAAAAACAAUAAUGCAAUUAUUCUACCCCUUUACACGGAUUUCUUUUUCUUUAAUCUUGGAGUAAAAGACGUGCAUAUCUAGUG
rnacentral:lncRNA from 13 species